CACGUAGGGUGCGAGCGUUGUCCGGAAUUAUUGGGCGUAAAGAGCUCGUAGGCGGUGUGUCACGUCGGCCGUGAAAACCUGCAGCUUAACUGUGGGCGUGCGGUCGAUACGGGCAUCACUGGAGUUCGGCAGGGGAGACUGGAAUUCCUGGUGUAGCGGUGAAAUGCGCAGAUAUCAGGAGGAACACCGGUGGCGAAGGCGGGGUCUCUGGGGCCGAUACUGACGUGAGGAGCGAAAAGCGUGGGGGAGCAAACAGG
rnacentral:rRNA from 1 species